GAGCCCCAGCCCGCAGGCUGGCCGGCGCGCGGCCGGAGGGGUUUCCGCCCCGCGCGGCGGUUGGCAGCACGGGCGGAGCGAACCUCGGCGCUAAGUCACCUGCGGACUAGAGUGGCACCUGGGAGUUUCUUGGAGGAACGAUCUACAUUUCUCACGAGGAAACUGUCCCUCAAACUGGAGGAGGAGGGGGCGAAGCUAAUUCCCAAAAAAAGAAGAGGGAAGAAAAAGGUUAUACCUCUCCCACAAAUGCUGUAUGAAUAAACAUUUUGCCAAUGCAAAUGGGCAGAAGAGGAAACUGGCCUCAAAAUCUCACUUCUAAUUCUCCAAGGGCAAAUCCCUGGCUUACUCUCACCUCGGGCUGGGGACAGCCGCAGAUUGAGUGGACUCUCUGCAUCGGGUGGAAAUCUCUUAUACUCUCAAUUCCUGAAAUAACUUCAUUGCCUUUUCUGAGGAAAGCCAGUCACAGCUCCUGCAUCCUCACCUCAGCUGAUUCAGCCAAAUUUGCAUGCCUCAUCCAAGGCCAGCCCAUCCAUAGGCCUGUCAGAGUCCUGUGAAGCAGUCUGGCCAGCGAGAGCUGCUCAGUGAUGAAGGAGACACGCAUCCACACCAAGGAGACCUUCUAUGAUGGAGAGUUUAAAUAGGAGGCCUUUGGAGAGCCCCUGCUGUUGGUAGAAUGGCCAGAAGUUGAAAAGACACACACAGAAAAACAGACAUGAGGGGGCAGAUGCUAUCAGUGAGCAGAAGCCAAGAGAUGAAAAGAAGAAAACAAGUUGGAAGUUAAGUGGCAGAAACAAUAAAAGCAAAGACUUUUACUUCAUCAUUGUAAAAACCACAGAGCAUUGGCGUCAGGCUGAUGGGUGCCUGAGGACCCCAGGAUAACCCAGGCUGCAAUGUCGUCUAAAGCAGCUUCUAGUUUUUAAAGGACGGUCUUUGGAGCACAACUGUGCAGCUGUUGAGAGUGUUCCCUGACUUUCUUACAUCCUACAUCCUUAUGACGCCGUCUUUUUACCCCCUCCCCCACCAUUAAUUGAGGUAAAUGGGUCUCUAAUCUUGAAAUGGGAAAAAACCAGCCGCAAGACCCCCAACGGCCGCUGCCCAACUCCACCAGGUUAGAAUUCUUGAUGCCAGCCCAGCGAUCCUGAGCAUCCAGUCCCGUGUUAGACACGGAUGCAUGGACCGCGCAUUAUUCUGGCUUAGCUGGUCCUUCUUACCCCCAGCUCUGCUGCUUCUCCUUUCCCAGUUCUCUUGGUGCAAAAGCUCUGACAGGCCUUAUAAAUCAAGGCACAUGGGUUAUGACAGCACUGAUCCCAAUUAAUAAUGAGGUAAUAACCCCUCGCGUGUGUUUCAACAAGGUCGGGUCUCAUUUGGCUUUGCAGGGUUAUGCACCUGGGCCAGCUAGAUCUCCAUCUCAACAGACUGUAAAACUGCAGUAACGGAAGGUGAAGGUUUGUGGUGCUGUGUGUCUGGUUUAUCUGCAAUCCAAAAUAAGAGUGCUCUAAAGAUCUAACAUCUGUGUUAGCGGACUUGGACACGUAUAAUCUUGGGGUACAAUUAUGAAGUGUCAUGUAGGGGAGGCAGAACCCCUCAAUGCAGUGAAUUUCACCCCAUCCCCUAAUUCCCCUUGGGUGUUAUACAAUAUGUUUGUGUUUUCUGUUCAUAACAGUACAAGCUCAUUUUAGAAAAUUGGUGAGGAUUUUUAAAUAAUCUAUAAUAUCGCUGCUCAAGGUAGUGAUUACGAAUCCCUUAGUAUCUCUUCUUUCAGCUUUUUUUUCCUGUGUCAAUGUAUUUCAAUAUUUUCGCACAAUUGGAAUUAUUCUAAAUAUAUGCCACUUUGUACUUCUG
rnacentral:lncRNA from 1 species